rnacentral:rRNA from 1 species
GAUGAACGCUGGCGGCGUGCUUAACACAUGCAAGUCGAACGGAAAGGCGCUGCUUUUGUGGGGUGCUCGAGAGGCGAACGGGUGAGUAACACGUGAGUAACCUGCCCCUGACAUAGGGAUAACUCUAGGGAACAGGGGCUCAUACCGGAUAGGAGCUCCUGCUGCACGGUGGGGGAUGGUAAGAUUCGGCGGUUGGGGCUGGACUCGCGGCUUAUCAGCUGGUUGGUGGGGUAGUGGCUGACAAAGGCUGUGACGGGUAGCCGGCCUGGGAGGGUGACCGGCCACAUUGGGACUGAGAUACGGCGCAGACUCCUACGGGAGGCAGCAGUGGGGAAUAUUGCACAAUGGGCGGAAGCCUGAUGCAGCAACGCCGCGUUCGGGAUGACGGCCUUCGGGUUGUAAACCGCUUUGGCCUGUGACGAAGCGUGAGUGACGGUAAUGGGUAAAGAAGCACCGGCUAACUACGUG